UAGAAGUUUUCUAUAGCUUGGUUUCAUCAUUUUAAUAUUUAUUUAUCUUCAAACAAACUUGCAUGGUUGACAAUCUGAUGAACCUUUAAAAAAGAAACAUCAUGAACUGAAGCCUGAAGUACUUCCUUUUGGACAUUAAAAAGGAAUCUCUUGCUCUUUGUAGAAAAUAAAUGUCCUGUGCUUCUGAAGCUAUGGCAACCUUGGCUAGUUUGUUGAUUGAAUUCAAAAUUUGUGCUUAGUUGUUCUCUACCUGUUCUGUUCAUAAUAUGCAUACAAGUAAAAGACCAAAUAUGCUGUAUAGCAUGGAGGUUAUCAUAUCCAUGGGAGAGCUGAAGCCUGUGAAAGUUUUCAUUAGAGCAAUUCGUUGAAUAUAUUAAGGUCAUAUCGGUGGAGUUAGCCUUUGGUACCAACCUAAGGAGAUGCAUUAUAAAGUUUCUUAAAAUAUUUGAUAGGCAAUUGUGUCAAUAGUUCAAGCCGAAGUUUUAAAUGCUCAAUGAUUAAAAAUAUACAUGCUGACAAUUGGCAUAAUGAUGCCAUGCUGGCACUUGCAUGCCAAUGUCACCAAUUUUAGAUUGAGAGGGAAGAGAGACCAUAUAUAGUAUUAGAACCAUAUUUGAUAUGUUUGCUUUGAGUUUCUUGACACUAAACUAACCCAGUUUUGGCUAAAUCAUUCCAGAAACCCAAUUUGUGUCGCAUCUCAACAUAGUAAAUCCUUUAAUGUUAAAUCCAUUUGUUAUUUUGGGUUGAUUGAAGCUGAACCAACCUGGUUAGUGGUGGAAAUGCUGUGAAACAAAAGAAUUUUUCAUCACAUUCCAAAUUGUAAAUCGUUUAGGGUGCUGUAGUGCCAGAAGCAUGCUACACAAAGUUUCAUUGUGCCAAAUGGUAAGUCAGAUCCAUAAUUCAAACAUUAGUAUUAAACGCCACUAGAAAGAUCAUAAAUGCUAUUAUGUUUUGCUGUAGCAAUCAGUUCUGGUAUGAUAUGCUUGACCUGUAGCAGUAUUGGAUAAGACUGAUUGGAUUUUGGUGGAUUUAUGGUUGUAGCUCAAAUAUUGAUUAGAAUCGGCCAUAUUUAACCAAAGUAAAUUGGAGCCAGCUGAUUUUAUUUACAAGUGUCCACAUGACACAACCUUUAUUUACAAGUCUAAAGCGGUCACCAAACCCAACUAAAAUGGGACUAUUAAACCUUCAGUCGUUCCUAUACAUGCUAUGCAAAGCAUGAACAUACCAAAAGACACGGACAUACAUAAGCAUUACAUCAAACAUCCUGUUUAGAAGUUUGUCCGUGACAGUAUAGUUGCAAAUUUGUCCAGAAAAUAUAAGAUGGGAGGUUGAGGAGAACCCAGACAUUGUUCUUCAGUCUGGUCAAGUUGCAUCACGUCGUGGGGUUAAGAGGACCACAGCCCGUGGUGGUGGCAUUCCAGGUGCUGGUAGGGGUAGAGGAUCACUGAAGAAUCAGAAGAAGAAAGAUUUUCUUUUGUCCAAAAUAGCAUUGGCAAGAAGAGCACUGGAAACAUUGAAAUACUCCAAACUGACACUCUAAUAAAAGAAGUAGAGAAACUUCUUGGUGCAAGUCAUCCUGAUCCUCUCGAGAUUGAGAAAGCCCAGCAAAUGUUAGAAGUAUGUAGUUAUAGAACUUUAUUGUGAAUAGCUAUCUGGUUUCAUGAAAAAAAAUACAAGGUGUUUUGUUUGCAUGUAGAAGCAUGAACAGGCAUUGAUUGAUGCAAUUGCAAACCUAGAUGAUGCCUAUGAUGGCGAAAGAGGUAAUUACUGCCCAUAAUUCUGUUCAAUUUUGCAUGUGAUGCUGAACAUUGAAAAACUUAAAUUUUUUUGUUUAUGUUAUGAUAUUUCCAUUAUUUAUCUACGAAGCUUUCUGAAGGAUAAAGCAAAGUGAGUUGAACUUAGGAAAUCGGCGGCAGUUAUGAUUUAUGCAAGUAAAGCAUACCCAUAUUACGGCAGUCACAUUUUUUUCUCUUUUUCUGAGCUUCUAAUUUAUCCAGCUAAGAAAAAAAAGAUGAUGCAAUGGUGAGACUCUUGCUAAUGCAGGGUACGGAGAGGGUUGAUGUAUACAAUCUUACCCCUGGUCGUGUAGAUUGCAAAAGGACAGCCCUACCAUGACAAAAGGCUAAAUAUUUGGCCUAAAACUUCAUGUUUUGUACUGUAACCGAAUAUAAAUUACUUAUUUUUAUUUGCCAGCCAGAAUCUUGUCUGAUUUCUGUUCAAAUUUAUUUGGUUCCGCUAAGGCAGAGAAGGUAAUCAUUAUGUUGCAACUUCUUUUAAGAAAAUUCCUACAUCUUGCCAGAUUCUACAACUCUGUUUUGCUUGCAAAAAGGGCUCUAAACCCCUUGCACCAUUUCUUUUUGCAGUAUAGCCCAAACUCCAGUUCAGUUCUCACAUGGCAAACCCAUGGACAAAGAUCAAGGAUGGAGAAAUCCAAUGUAUGGUGGGAACCAGCAUGGAGCUAAUUACAACCAUGACAUGGCUGUCGAUGUUGGAGAAGGCUCUGAGGAUGAUCGAAUGGUUGCAGGCAGUAUCGCAUUGGGUUACCAGCAUUAUGCUACUGAUGAUGACAUGUAAGCUUGUAACCAACCUGCACUGAAUCUUCCACCACAUAGUAUGUCCACAGGGAUCCCUAACCAUGUAAAAUGCUUUAGCUAAGAUUCAUUUCUCACACGUGAGAAAUUAAUGGUGCCUUAAUCCUUGGUUGAAAACAUCUCCUGUAUGAGUUGUUUUCAGAAUUGUAUCUGAAGAGAGCAUCUUGGGGAAAUUUGGCCUCUGAUCAUUUCAGUGAGUUGAUUAUUAUGCUCUUGUGAGUUGUUUUGCAUUCUUUGUUUGUUGUUGGCUAUCAGUUAUGAAUUUUGUUUCUGAUAUUGAUGAAGAGAAUUCAGAAUCUGUUUGUUCCUACAUGGAAAACAAAAAGUUUCCUAAUUAAAUUUCAGUAGUCUGAAGAUUUAGCAUUUUUCACAGUGUAAAGAAGUAAAUGCAUGAAAGGUAUUUUAUAGAUCCAUAUACUAAAAAAAUUAGAUAUCC